UACGGAGGGAGCUAGCGUUAUUCGGAAUUACUGGGCGUAAAGCGCACGUAGGCGGCUUUGUAAGUUAGAGGUGAAAGCCUGGAGCUCAACUCCAGAAUUGCCUUUAAGACUGCAUCGCUUGAAUCCAGGAGAGGUGAGUGGAAUUCCGAGUGUAGAGGUGAAAUUCGUAGAUAUUCGGAAGAACACCAGUGGCGAAGGCGGCUCACUGGACUGGUAUUGACGCUGAGGAGCGAAAGCCAGGGGAGCAAACGGG
rnacentral:rRNA from 1 species